CGUGGGUAACCUGCCUUAUAGUGGGGGAUAGCCUUUCGAAAGGAAGAUUAAUACCGCAUAAGAUUGUAGUAUCGCAUGAUAUAGCAAUUAAAGGAGCAAUUCGCUAUAAGAUGGACCCGCGUCGCAUUAGCUAGUUGGUGAGGUAAUGGCUCACCAAGGCGACGAUGCGUAGCCGACCUGAGAGGGUGAUCGGCCACAUUGGGACUGAGGCACGGCCCAGACUCCUACGGGAGGCAGCAUG
rnacentral:rRNA from 1 species